AAUCAGUCAGACGAACGUCGUCGUCGACGAUCCUCCAGCUUGCAAAACGACCGCGAUUCAUCGCACCAGCUGCGUCGAUCGGCAGUGUACCAAGGAACGUACGCGUACCCGGCGUAACCUGCGUUUAUCGGAAACGUGCUCGUGUUGUCGCGGCCAGCUGGUGCGAUUACCAGGUGUCGGAUGACUCCCCCCGUACCACGCAGCCUUCCCGUAGUCGUAGAAAGGACGCGAUAUCCCGUAGGAAGGAGCAUUGCCGCGCGGCGAGCGAACAUCGUCGCGGUCUCUCAUCGGCGGCGUCGUCGGUGGUGCGCCGGCCCGCGCGUCGCGCCAAAGUCCUCGCGAUUAGACCUUCCCGUGCACGUUCCUAUCUUACGUCCGUGAUGGCGGCUGUACCUGAUAUGUCGCACCUCACCCCCGAGGAGAGGAGCACCAUCGAGGAGGUUAUGAUACGACAGAAGCAGGAGGAGGAGAAGGAGAAUGAGAUUAUGAGACGAAAGCAGGACGAGGUGAAGAUCCUCGAGAACACGAUACGGGCCUAUUCGGAGAAGCACAAGAAGACGGGAGCGGAGCUGCACGCCACGUGUCACAUAUGCCUGAAAACCAAGUUCGCCGCCGGCGCCGGCCACACCUGCAACCACUGCAGCAUCCUGUGCUGCGCACGCUGCGGUGGAAAGGUCAAUCUACGGUCGAACAAGGUGAUAUGGCUGUGUAUCGUCUGUCGCAAGAAGCAAGAACUCCUGUCGAAGACCGGACAAUGGAUGACCAAGUCGGGCCUCGCCACCGCGGACAACGCGAUGCUGCAACGGAUGCAGGACAUGCAGGUGGGUGGUCCUCCGGGACUCGUGGACCAAACUCAGGAUAAAAGACCGAAACUCGAGAGAGCGCACAGCGCGGCUGAGAAGGAGAAUUUGCCCUUGUUACAAAGGGGCGGAAGUCUGCUCAGAAGACAGUACUCUCAGCAAGAGCAAGUCCCAGUGCGUCGGCUGCCCACGAGCGAUAGCGGAGUGGAUAUGUCCGUUUCGCCUCACUCAAGAGCUCUGCCGACGCCUCACGUAGCGCCUUCUCACCAGACGCAGCCGCCGCCGAGGCAUCCGAAAGCGUACGCUGAGGAUGAUCCAAACCUUUACAGAGGGGAGAUCGACGGUCUUAUGAAACAGCAGAACUACCAGCGUCAACGACCGAUCUACCCGGAUCAGAAUACGGAUUUCGCGAUGACAUAUGGUCAGCCGACGGUAGAAGCCGGCCCACCUCGAUCAGUAGUGCAUCCUCCUCAGCAACAUUCGGUGCAUCAAAUGCAGAGCGCGCGUCCCCCACAAUCGAUGGGUGGACAGAGCGCUCUUCAGCCACAAAGAAGUUUCAGCAGCAGCGAGGAAGAACGAAGCACACCUGAGUGUGCGAGCGACGAGCCUGACGAGUCAGAGAAGGGGAAGGGGUACUACCACCAUACGGGAGGUCCGAUGUCAAUGUCUGGCGGUGGACGUAGGCACAAUGGACCCCACAACGGGCACCACAACACGGGCGCGAUGACCAUCGAAUAUAAUGGUCAUCAUCCAUCGCGAGAGCCGCGAAAAGAGGAAAGCACACUCGUCAGACGGAGCUUCCGAAGGAGCGGCGACGAGUGGCGCGGCGACAGUAGGAGGUUCACGGAGAGAAGGGGGAAAAAGACAGUGCGAUUUGACGGUGGGACCAAUGUCGGCGGCCCUCAGGAGGAUUGGUCUUGGGAGGCCGAUCGACAGGGUAGUCAAGACAGCGCGACCAAAGACUCCGGAAUAGACACCUCUAGCACCUUCACGAGCAGUGAAGACAGCAACAGGGGCGACCUACCCAAGCAUCCGUUACCCUGGCAAGUGAGCAGAGACGGCCUGAAGUUCAUUGGCCAUAUGGUGUUGCGAAAACAGCCCGGUUCCGGAUGCAGUAGUAGUAUACUCGGGCUGAAAGUCGUCGGCGGAAAGCUGCUGGAGAAUGGCUAUAUGGGCGCUGUCAUCGAGAAGGUCAAGGAGGGUAGUACUGCCGAGAUAGAAGGUCAACUGAGACCCGGUGACGAGGUGAUCAAGUGGAACGGGAGGUCCCUCCAGGGCAAGAGCUACCGUGAAGUUUACGACAUCAUCGCCGAGUCGAGACAUGAGCCUCAAGUGGAGCUGGUAGUUUCGCGGAACUUGUCCGCGACGACGGCGCCGGUGACGAUGCCUGCGGGGCCGACGCCUUCGACGCCGAUGGCAUCGAGGAGGAUGGCUGCGCAGACCCAGUGGAGACAAAAGCACCCGGAGACGAUUCCCGGGCCGCAGCAACCGCAUCACAAAGAUUAUAUGCUUUUUCGUAUUCCAGGUCUUAAGAAAUAUAUUCUAUGGGAGUUAUACGACGCGAGGCGCGAGAAACCUUCGGUUUUAGUGACCUCGCCUGGUUCACCGGAUCUGCACGCUCAUGGACGCGUGAGUCGCCAUCGAUACCCAACCGGUAACACAAACGUCGGGGGUAAUCUACAGGUGAAGGUGGGCUUUGAUCCUGUGGCGCUUCAAUUGAUCGUCACGCUGGUCUGUGCGGCCGGUCUUACACCUAGAAGUAACCGCCAGCCUCGGAAUCCCUACGCCAAGAUUUUUCUUCUUCCGGAUAAGAGCGAGAAGUCGAAGCGACGCACGAAAACGUUGGCGAACACGAACGACCCGAAGUGGGAUCAGACCUUCGUUUACAAUGGGAUCAGGAGGACGGAUCUGAGGGAAAGGGCGUUGGAGAUCACACUCUGGGACUACGGGAAGUACGACGCGAACGAUUUCCUCGGAGAGGUCGUCCUCGAGCUGGCGACGUCUAUGCUGAACGGGGAACCAGAAUGGCAUCCCUUGAUCAGCCACGGGGAACACCGGCACAUUAGAUACUAUCAGGAGCCCGAUGACAUGGUGAUAACUCCGGUGGACUGCCAUCUCAGUCCACCGUCGACGACGUCGCGGCUGAGCGACUCUGACACUUCCGAAUGCGAUAUCAUGGACUGCGACGACUCCAGGGAGCAAAGGAGAACAGCUGACGGUGCCAGUAUAAGCAGUAUCGGCAGUUACUCCAGGUUUCAUAAUAUGUCAUCAAAUUAUAAGCGCCACUAUUCUAGUCCCCCGCCGGAAAGGGAGCUCUGCAUCGACGGGGAGCACCGGAGUCGAAGGGACAUGUCGCCGCAGGGGCGUAAACGAGCCGCUCUCAUGAACCGUGACCAGCCCGCGUCUAUAUCUGGCUACCAGACCUAUCGCAAGGAGGAUAUUCACCGAGGAAUGAUGAGUCACAGGUCGCAUAGCGCAGCACCUAUGGACUCGCCGAGCCUUCGGUAUCGAGGAAGGUCUCAAAGUCCCACCGGUCAUCGGUCUCUGUCUCCACCGGAACACAGAUCCAUGCCCUACUCGCACGGUUACGUAUCAGCCAGAUUCGGUUCGAGAUCAGCAACGGCUACUCCCACCGGUUCGCCGAAAAAGAGACAGUUGCCUAUAAUCCCGGCAGCUCUGAAGGAAAGAGCCGCUCAAGAUCUCGAGGAGCGAGCUAGAUUCAUGAGACACCACAAUAGACAGGUGCACACAACGUACAGGAGUACGGGCACGGGUGGUUGGGAAAGACACUAUAGUGGCUUGUCGGACUCGGAUCUUCCUUCGAUAGAUCACGAUCCGUUGUCUUUGCCGCACAGUCAUGCUUACCGAAUACACAGAACGCAAAGGGGACAUUUGAGUCCGGACAAAGACGUACUUGGGGAUCUCGGAGACUCCGAUAUGGAGAGUACAGCCUCCGUGACGAGUAGUGCCUUCAGUACGCAAUCGGAACGACCACGUGGUUCCAGAGGACUAAUACCGACAGUUAAAAACGUUUUAAUACCCGGUGUCAUAUCCCCUAUGCCCCUGCCCCCUAGGCGCAAUAGGCGCAGGCACAGACUUAGGGUACCCUGCAGCGAAUGUCACUGUCCGAACAACAAUCCCACCAAGCCCAGGAGCAACAACCCCAGCAAGCACAAUCCCACCCCGCAUCCCCUCGUACGGAGCAAGUCCGCAGUGGUGCGCUCGUUGUACAGAAAGAUGCGUACGCCGUUCACGAGGUCGCAGACCGUCGACGAGAACAUGCUGAGAUAUUACAGCCCGGAGACCAGCGAGUACAGCGUCUCCGAGGGUUACAUACUCAAGCCAGAGGAGCUAACCGGUAGCUCGAAGAAACGUAUACCGGAGAUAUACGUUGAGGAUUGCCUUCAAGUCGACUUCAACGAUCGUCUCAUCGACAAGUUUCGAGACAGAUACUCGUCGCCAUAUCUUCUGGAUUCCGGUAUGCGUAGACGGUCGCGUAGCUGGCAGGACCGUACCGGAAGAACCGCGAAAUCUAAAUACCAAUUCCUCGCGAGAGGCUUACACGAUUUUAAGGACGACGUCGGCAUUAGAAAUCUAGACGUUAGCUUGCGACCGCGUAGGUCUUUUUUAUUCUCGAAGGCUAGGAGCUUCGAUUACGACGUGCUGCACGACACCUAUUCCGACCGUUACGGUUUCGGUCUGGGCGCCGGUUUACUCUCGCGAAGAGCAAAGAGCUUCGAAUACGACACCAUAUCCACCAGCAACAUAUUCAGCGACGACAGUCUGAGAACGGCUAGAAGAAAGCUAAAGAGGAACCUUUCGAUCAACGAUGCCGGAUACGGCGAUAAAAUACCCGCUCUAGGCGAUCAGAGUAAAUCGUAUUUCGAUUCGAACGGCGACGACAAGGUGCCCAAGAGCCUUUUCAACCGGGAAAAGAAUUACGAUUACCUGCUGAAGCAGGAUCACAAACCGUUCUACGGCUACGGCGCUCAGUUCUGUUGCGACGGAACGGAGAUUUACAUGCCGCGUUUCGAUAAACGAGCCAUCGGUUUCGCCGGCACAGGUAAGAGUUAUCGAUACAACCUGACGGGCGAAAAGUCCUUCAGAGGCGACGAUCGGAUCGGUCUCAGAAACGUUCUCCGCAGGGAAGACCCUACCAAACGAAAGUACAUAGACUCGAUGUUCCAAGAGCACGAUUCUACCUUUGACAGAGAUAUAUCGGAGAAACGAACCAAGAAUCUGGACAGCGGUAUCUGCGACCCGACCAACGAACACAUCUAUUGCAGUAUCGACGAGGCUCUGUCAUCUGGCGAGAAUUACGGCCAGGAAGUAGACAUUAAUUGUUCCCCGCUUUGCGCGGCAUCCGAUCUAGAUCAUUACGACAAUCAAAGAAUCGCCGGUCGUGCUCGCAGACGAACGAAAAGCAGCGAAUCUUACCUGGAGAACGGAUACGACGGUUACGACUGGGACAUCGAGUACGACGAAGGGUUCGUCGACAGAGGGAGAAACGACGAUUACGAUCAACGAUUGUACUCGUACGACGACAUGAACGUUCAGGUGCCGCGAACCGAUAGACAGACGUACGAGGACGAGUAUUACGAUAGAAGAGAAGAUACUCGACGUGGCAGCACGCGUAAAAAGAGAACGUGCCUGUAUGUCGACGACGAGUACCGUGCCGACGAUUACUGCGAUUAUCGUUCCGCGGAUGAGUACGAUUAUCAAACGCACAGUGGUCCCGAGUGUAGUCGCGCGGACCAAUAUCACGAUAGCUCGAUGCCGCGAAGGAGACGAAGGAGAAGCAGAAGAGGAAGCCGAGAAACGAGUAUCGGGAUCUACGAGAAUCUGCCACCGUAUCGAGAAACGAGCGUCAAGCACAAUCUGUCCGUGCCGAGCUAUAACGAGAGUAAAAGAAUGAUGCUGCAGCGUGCGGAGUCGUCGCCCGUGCUCCGCUCGGACGAGGAAUUGAGCUCGUCCGAGAGAGCCGAGAGGGCGAAACGCUUGUACCGUCGCAGAAGAAACAGCAGCUGUCCCGAAGCCAGAGAGCUACGUUACUACGAUCCAUCGCGAAGAAAAGACGAAGAAAGAAGCAGCACGAACUUCGUUCUGGACUCGGACGAGGACUUUGGCUCGAUGGAAACGGUCGUGUGCGCGGAUUGCUUCCGUCAGAAGAACGAUACAGGCGCUGCUCGCGAUAGUACUAGAUCGGGAUACUACGAGACAGAACAGAACGUUUACGUAGACUCGAGGUACGACUACGGUGUCGAUCAGCCUUGCGAUUGUCCGGAAACGUGCGAAUUAGCUAGGUCGGGAUCUCUACGGUCGUCUAUGUAUCGCGGUAGGCGUAAGAGUAGCUGUCCAGAGUGUCGGGAGUUAGCGAUGUCCUCCGAGUUAGGUAGGUCUGGGUCGUUGUCACGUAAGGGCGAGGAGAGGAGGGCGUCCGUAGAAUCGAGGCAUAGGUAUCGUAGACGAAACAGCAGCUGCCCGGAGGCUAGGGACCUCGAGCUCCUCGACAAGAGGCAGCAACAGCAACCCCAGCAGCAAGGCCAACAGCAUACCGGCCAGCAACAGCAGCAGGGUAGUAAGAGGAACGUAGCGAUCAGCGACACCCUCGAGUACUACGAGUACUCGAUGGAGAGCGAGAGCCAGUGCAGCGAGAACUGCGGAUUUGGCCCGUGCGAUCCGCGUAGGCCCCGUAACCGAGCACCCCGCCCCGGUAACGCUAAUUCAAGUCUCUUUGAUUCCCAAACCGCUACCUCCGACACUGCUAAAAACUACCACCCACGGGCCGUCGAUCACCACGAAACCUCACGAAACACGAAACCAUCGUCGCGCGACAACCUCGACGAAUCCGUCGUGGUGUCAACAUCCCCGUCGUCGUCCAUCCGGCGGCGUUCGCGGAAAAAAAUUGCCCCCGACGACGACGCCAACGAACAACGACGUCACGUCGACUCGCGGGAUCGUCGAUCCUCCUCCAUGCCCGAAAGCAGCGAGUACAGCGGUCAGUCCAGCUCCUACGAGAAGACGUCCAGAAGUCAGGCUGCCGAUAACGAGAACGACGACCAUGGCAAGAGGGGGCAGUUCGCCAGAAGCCUUAGCAACACCGACGCGCCACCAGAUGAUAAAGUUGACGGUAGUUUGAGCGAUACGGCGAUCGGCUUGAACGUCGAAGACUCCUCGAGGAGAGGUCGCAAGAGCUCGCCCGGGAGUAAAAGCGGAAGCGGAAGUAGCAGCGGUGGCGGAAGCGCGGUGCAGUAUCAGUCAGGUCUGGGGAAGAAGAGUAACAGCACCAGCCAACUGUCUGCCACAGAGUACGGUAUCGGCUGGAUCUUCGUCGGAAGUGGUAACGCGGAGGCACGCGCCGGUUUAUCGAGCCGGAAGCGCAACAGCACACCGAGCACCAUACAACGUUCCGAGGAGAUUGUACCCUAUCAGCGCUUUGAACCCGGAAAACAGACGGGAUCAGCGGCCAGUGACACAGCCGGAAGUCUCAACUCGAUCUCUAGUUCCGAAGGAAGCUCUUGGUCUCCCAGUCUGCGAAUGACAGGCGAAACCGGCCAGGUGAGAGACUUCAUCAAAGAUCUGGGACCUGGACAAGUGGUGGGAAGGCAAGCACUCGGUGCUCGGUGUCUAGGAGAGAUUCAGCUCUCGCUGACGCAGAAGAAAGGCUACCUCGAAGUGGAGGUGAUACGUGCCAAAGACCUGAAACCGAAACAGGGCAGCAAAACUAUUCCAGCCUGCUACGUGAAAGUUUACCUGGUCAACGGUAAAAAGUGCAUCGCGAAAGCGAAAACCACGGCGGCUAGGAAAACGUUGGACCCGUUCUACCAGGAGUCGCUGUCCUUCAGAGAAAAUUGUCGAGGUUGUAUACUACAGGUGACAGUAUGGGGUGAUUACGGGCGAAUAGAAGGGAGAAAAGUGUUCAUGGGCAUUGCGCUGAUCGUGUUGGACGAACUAAACCUCAAUGAGAUGGUGUUCGGGUGGUACAAGCUGUUUGGCGACACAUCCCUGGUCAGUGGACCUCCAUCCUUAACUUUAUCCCGUCGAUCCUCGGCCACGUCCCCAGAGUCCUUUAAAGUUUAAGCAAAUGUCCUAGUUCUCUCUUUGCGUGUAACGAGACGUAGUUGAGACUAUUUUGUAAGUAAUUUCCGAUAGAAAGAGAAAAAUGCAAAAAAAUAUUGUGUCCAACUUUACUCGCGUUAAUCGAUAUCUUGCCAGUUUAAUUUCCAAUAACUUUCGAAUCGAAAGGUGUCACGAUUAUUGCUUGUCGAUUUAUAGAGAAGUGGAAAGCGAGAGAAUUCUUUUCGAAUUAUACCAUUAAUGCCGUUCCAUUGUUUCCGGUAACGUCGUUUACGUUUGCAUUCGAGAAAUGAUCGGUUACAAGCAACCAUUGGGCUCUGAAUACGAUAAAAUCGGUUCGUUGUGUAACCCGGGGGCCAUCGUAGAUGCGAGCUUGCGUGGUAAAUCGAACAAGUGCGAUCGCGCUUUUGGAUAAAACGAGAAAAGUGUGUUUUAUUUGCAAGGUGACCGCGAGAAUGGGAAAAGUGUGAAAGGUCGUACGAGAGGACAUGUCUUUCUAGAAACACCAGUAGCACAUCACAUAUCAUGUACGGCAUAUCAGAUGAGCCACUAGUCUGUAUGUAGACUAGAUGUAGACAUAGCGGCCAUGUUCCCGGAGCGACAGAUAGCUUUAGUGAAACCGAUACAGCGGCACUCGAUUCGAGAUCGAUGUGAACUCCAACGUGGUGUGCUAUGAGAAAGGCGUGCCCGUACCGUGACACGAUUAUUUAUCAAUGUUCAGAUGACACGAAAUAACGAGGAACCAGUGAAUUGGUGAAAUCGUUCGCGCGUCGCAAAUGAACCGAUCGUUACGUACUAUCGAUCAAGAUCAAUGUAUACGGGUGUGCAAUCGCGAGGGAUGUUUUCCAACGUAUUUGUACAUAACUUAGGACGCUCGAAGUGCUCUACAAAUCAGUGACGAUUUUCGAUGAUGAUAGCGCGUCAAGAAAUCCGAGCUCCUCCGAACUCGUUGUCAAGUUUUUAGCCAAGGAAAAUAUCAUCGUCGGAGCGUAUAUAAUUUAUUGUAAAUAUUAUAACGAUUAUAUAUAUAUAUAUAUAUAUGAAUUCGCGAUACGUAUUGCGCGCAGAUGUUUAAACGGACAAUUGCCUUGAUCGUCGCGUUUUCGUUACCCGGUUGCCCGACGACUUCAACCAUCGGACACCGUAUUAAUUUUUACUACCACGAUCGAGAAGUAUGCGUCUCGACGCCCGAAGACUCGUCGAAGAAAAUUCAGGUGAGCGUGUCGCGUUCGUGCCAUCGGAAUGUCGCGCGGCAACUUCGGGAACGGGGACGAAUGUCGUGAAUUAGCGAAUUGUUGUUGAACGUUUAAAGUAGCCGUGUCAACUAGUUUGCGCGCGCGCGUGUGUGUGUGUACGUGUGUGCGAGAGAUAGAGAGUGAGAGGGAGAGAAAGAAGCAAAGAAAAGAAGAAAAAAAAAUAUGAAGAAAAAACGAAAACGUGCUAACUAUAUCGACUGUCAUAUAAUGUGAUUACGUUAGUUUUAUUUAAUUGUCGAAUUUCACGACUCGAGUGUAACGCGUAAGGGGAGAGCCGUGUAUACGUUUAGGACCUUAUUCUCGAAACCUGCACUCGACUCAAAGCUCGUUUUUUGUAAUGUGAAUAUUUCACUGAACGAACCGCCCACAUACAUUCUCGCAUAGGAAGACACGGUGUCCCCCUCGGGAUCUCGUCACCCACGGGACUCGUGGCGGGAACCGUGCGUAUCACUGCUGAACAGUAUCUUUAAAAGAAUAAAACAAACGAGAACGAUGCUCGCUCACGAUCGAGAGAGACGGAGAGAGAGAAACAUACGUAUUCGCAAUCGAUUUUAUAUCUCUUAAUUCUCAUGUUAUGUGUUCGAUCUUUGUCUGUGCAUUCGGCUGGUCAUUCGAUGAGCAUGCACGUGUACGCGGAACAUCUAGCGAUUAAACACUUGAUUAUCGAGUACGAUUUCUUUCUUUUCGCUGAUUGUGCUUGCAACAUGUAAACGAUUCUCUUAAUAAACCGGAGGGGGAGUGGGAAACAGAGAAACCGUGAUCUCCCGAUGUUUACGCGUCGAUGGAGAAACACGAGUACUUGUCGUUGCUUAGGGACGAUAGUCAGGUUCGCGAAUCGAAACGCUUCGAAUUAAUUACGCUCUGCAUUUGGAAUGCACGUCCUCGUUUUUUACGAAUAUUUGCCUCGCGAACGUCCUCUUCAUCGCGAGCAUUGGGUUCGUUCGCCUCGCAUCGCUUUUCUCUCCUCGUUUGCCGCCUUUGAGAGGUACUCCUUGGAUAUUGAUCGAUGUCGCCGAUACGAUGCAGUUCCCGAUUCUUUAUUUUUGUUUUUUUUUUUGUUUUUUAUUCAAAGCGUUCGAGAAUCUAAAGUUCGUUAUCACAUUUAACUCGUGUACCAGAAUGGACUGAAUCACUUAGAGUUCUAUGAAUAACUUGUUUUCCCAAGUGGCGUAGGACGCAUCAAUCAGUUUGUAAAACAAUUUUACUGUCGUGAAUUAAAGUGCAGUAUAAUUUCUUCGGGAGAGUAAUUGAAUCCAAAUCAGUGACUUUAACGUCGAUAUCUUCGUACUAUUUUCUCAUUUUUGUCUUUGCACUCCUUAACGUUUGCUUUUGUCGCCACGCAAUUCAUAAAAGGGUUUCUCCAAAAUUAAAUAGAGAUAUAGCGUGAGCAACGUUUCCGAACAAGGUUCUGAAAAAAGGGGCGAUACGAUGAAGAGAAAGGGACGUUUGUUUCAUGAGGCGGGCAAAUAGAGAACGUGAAUUAUUUCUAACCGGACGAUCGAUCGACCAUUAGUAUCGCGAAGCGUGUGUAAAAAAAAAGGGGGAGGGGGGUUAGGGCGAUAUCUUAUCAUAUCUAUAACGUGCUUGAAUUAGAUAACGAAACAUGCUGCAAGGUGAGGGAAAAAAAGAAGCUUUUUUACUCGUGAAAAAAAAAAAAUAAACCAAACGUAGAGCUCUGUCAAACGAAGCGCGGUGACGCGAACUGUCGCGAGCAAAACGAAAAAUUACUUAUCAUAAGACAAUUUCUAAGUAAACAUUUUGCAAGUGCAUGACUUAUAUUAGUAGGCUCUUGGGACAAUGAGAACGUAAUUAACCAACACGCAGAAUAUAAACUCUGUACUAGUGGAUAACACUCGAUAAAAAAAAAAAAGAAAAUAUACAAGUCUACGAAUUAUGUAAUACAUUCAGUUUGUAAAUCCGCCGGUUACUUGCGGCCGUAGGAGCUUUCGCGAAAUUCGUUCGACGUCUCGAGUUUCGUUUUACGUUACGUGCAGAAUCCAAUUCCAUUCUCGAUUAUACACGGUGUACCGUAAACUUCAAAAUUUGAGUUCGACGAAAACCGUGCAGCUGGAAGCCGUGAUUUCUUUCUCAGAAGUUCAUUGCAAUCGUGAUGCGUUCGUUGGUGAAUUUUGCGAAAAAAUUUCGCGAAGGUCCUAUUGUUGCGAACUGUUAACGCUUACAAUAUAACAGUAUUGCAUAGCCUAUACAAAACGUAGGACUUUCAUAACUAGUGACCGGUUUUAAGAGAUUCUCCCCCCAAACAAACAAAAAGAAAAAAAAAAUAAUGGAAGAGAGACGGGUUUCCUUUUUUAUACGUAUAUCGAUGAACGAUUUAAUCCAAAGAACAUUAAGCGAACGUCGAUAAAUUCUCGUAGGAAAUUUCGCUAGAAAUUGCGUAGGAAACCGAAAAUUACACACGGAACACGGGCCAGAAGUAAAGUGUAAAAUAAAAGUGAGAACCAGCAAGCUGAUUACGAAGAAUGGUAGACGAGAUAUAAUUACGAUAUUUCAUUUAACGUAUCUUUGAUCUAAUUUAUACCUUAAUUUUCUUCGCAGUUCCAACGAUUGAUUUGCAGUCGGAGAUCUAAGUGAAUUUAGUUCAAACGAGGACGGAACAAAAUUGCGAACAUCGUAAAUGUCGAAUGUACCGGGUAUUCUGUGUAAACUGUUGUAAGGUGUCUUGCUAGAACGUAAGGAAGACAUGGACUUGAUUUAUGCUACAUUUGGACGGCACGGUUUAAUUGUAGCAAAAAUGAAAUCGAUUUCUUUGUUAUUUUUUAACAAAAACUGCAUGUAACAUUUUAUAUAGGACACUCCGCAUACGGUUCCAAAAGAAUAUUACAUUGUAUCGUGAACAAUUGUUCGUGUAAGAAAUAAUUCUAUACUCGGGACGGAUCUAUUCUGAACGAAACAACGAAAAAGUAGAAGUAUUCGAACUUGGUUUCAAGUUUUUCAAUUGAACGGUUUACUCGAAGCCACCUUUAGAAAUACACGUUUUCCGUUCGGAUCGAUUAAGGCCAGAGAAAAACAUAGGUAUCUCGAAUAUCGGAUAAGUACCGUUUAAUGAAAUACAUUCCAUAAAAUUUUAAGCAAUUUUACACGUAAGACUUAAUUUAGGAAUUUCGUCUGUAUCUUCUCUACAGAUCGGAGUUACUUUUACGCAAUGAAACAGGGAAUAAAAAUAUUUGUACGUAACUUUAAGUAGCUUUUCUUUCGAUCGAGCACUCGAUGUCCAUAAAAAUCCUCGAAUACAACCGAAGGUGAAAAAAAAAAGAAAAUUCUAUCUAGAAGGAACAACGCGAAGAGAAUCAAGGUAUCACCCGUUGAUUUUCAUCAUACUCUUGCCAUGCCCAUUUGUACAUAGGCAUGCUCAAUCUUAGGAUCGAACACGCAUCGUGAAUCACAUAUAUAUAUACAUAUACAUACAAAUAGUAUUAAUUACGAAAACGAACAAAUUAAUAUCCGACUUUGUACCUAUAUACUUAUAAUUAACGUAAAACGAAGACGAAGAAAGAGGUGGGGACGAAGACAAAUUUCGGUGAAUGUAUAUUGUAUAUGUAAUAGAUAUGUAUAUGAUAUAUGUUAUCGAGGUAUACGGGGAAGGGGGCGUAUUACGAAAGAGGGGUACCACUUUUUGUCAAAUUUAGAGAGCCAAUUUAGGUUUUGCGAUUACGAUAUAUAGCGUGUGCGAGGCGGAACGAGUGCGAAAAAAGAGUAAAAGAUCGGAAAGGAAAAGAAACGGAACGACACACGGUCAACGAUUUCUUUACAAUGAAAUUCAUUACUCGCUUCGCGGAAGCGAUCCAACGUAGCACCAGCUGUUCCAGUGAUCUAGCGUCGACCAGCCACGAUCGAUCGCGUCUUUGGAUUUCGCCUACCUUUCAAUUUUUCAAAAGCAAAUCGCUGGACGAAUCGAGAAUCGUUUUUCACGGACCUCGGCAUUCCCGUAAACGUUUAAAAAUCCGUCGAGUCGCCGGCGACGAGGUCGAUCUACGCAAUCGAUCGUCAGAUCACGCGAACACCGAUCCUCGAUACCGGGGGUGGGCAUCUUGGUGCCCUUAGGGGCACGUGCGCCAUCUUCUCGAGCCAGGUGCUAGUAUAUACAGCGCGCAACGAACGUCCGGGUUUUAUUAAGCUGAACCAAAAGAUUUUUUAGUCAUUUUUCUUUCUGUCUAUGUACUUUUUUCGACGAAUGUUUAAAUUAUAUAAAGAUAUUCUAGUUUUAUGUUUUUUGUAUACUAUUUUAUAGUUCUCGAAUUGCUCUUUCGUAUCGCGUAUUAAAAUUUUACUAACCGUAUAAUUAUGGUAAAGUACACGCAAUAAUAUGAUUUAACCUAAACGCUUGUAACUUCUAUUAUUAACGACAUUAAAGCUUUGGCUUUAGAAUGAUUUCGUGUUCAGUUAGAAUAAACUGUUUAUACUUUUUUUUUUUUUAAUUAAUAUUCUUCAAUUAGAUUUUGUGACAAAGUAUCAAGGUCUCCAAUAUUUUUAAUUACAAAAUUUGGCUAGCAAAGUGUUAGUACACGAUGCGAAAGAGUAAUUCGACGUCUACAAAGUGAAGUGAAGUAGCAUAAAAUUGAAAUGAUUUUAUUUAGUUUAACGGUUUAUUGAAAAAGAACGUAGAAGGAAAGAAAAAAAAUCGGGAAAUACCUUCGGUUGGCCCCAAAAUUUUAAGAAAGAAACACGAUGAGCUUGCAAAGGUGAGAAAAAUGGGGGAGAGCGCAGGAUAACACGAGCCAAGAUGCGUGUUUUUCGUUAAAAGGAGGGAGAAACAGGCGGAAACGAACGACGAAAUACAAAAGCGAAAAGAAUUUAAACAGUAUGAUUAGACGACGUUUCGUGGGAACAAUAGAACUCGGCCGAGAACUCCUUCGACGAUUUCUUUUUCCUUUUGCCCUGGGGGAAAACGGACCACGAUUGAGACAGAACCAUCUGCGAGAUCCUUGUCGCGAGACCGUUUUUAAAGAUGAUUCUGUGCCUAUCAUUGGUUCGGCCAAACGGUAAAAAAAGAUGUUCCAGAUGGAAAUACAGCUGCGGUUCGAGGAGUUCACGGCACGGGAUCUACACGGAACGAUUAAUAUAAAGCGUUAGUGACUGUAUCCAGUAUAAUAUAUCUGAUAAAAGAUACCCCGAUGCCAGACAUGGCGUGUGACAAUAAAGUGAUUCAAUGAU